rnacentral:misc_RNA from 1 species
CAGAGUUCGUGCCCUUACGGGUAGAUCUCCCACCCUGUGUAUUUAUACCUUUGUUGCUUUGGCAGGCCGUCAGGCUUUGGCUCGACUACCGGCUCCGGCUGGUAAGCGCCUGCCAGAGGAAAUCAAACUCUGAAUAUUAAUGUCGUCUGAGUAAACUAUAAUAAGUUA